UUCAUAUAUAAGUUAUUGCAGCCUGAAGGAAACAGAUACUGCUGGCAGUUUACUACAUACGCAGCUUAUAGACACAGAUUUAUGCUACUGUUGCAUUAAAACAAGUAGUUUAUAAAUAUCUGCUGGUGCUUUAGGUUACCAGGGAUUCAAAUCAGAGAGGGUAACCAUUUUUGGACAGAAAACAUCUCUUUGCUUCCGGUGGAAAGGAGGGGAAGGGAAGAGAAGAGAAGGGGAAAGGCAAAAGAGAGAAGGGGGAAGGCAAAAGGAGGAAGGAGGAGGGGAAAAGGAGAAAAAGCGGGAAAGAAACAAGGAAUUGUAAGAAGAUAAAGAUGGUUGUGGAUUUUUUCCUCCCUUGUAGUUUCUCCAGCGCUCUCAAGGAACCCUUACUGUGAACAAGCAGCAGAAAGAAAGAAACUGCAUGAUUUAAUUGUUGAAAGGACAGAGGUAGAGUGUUAAUGAAAAGUAGACAGAGAUAACAACUGGGGAAUAGAAGAAGCAAAGAGAAGGAAACACCAGAAUUAAUGUUGUCUGUGGAGGUUCUGCAGAGAAGGAGGGAUAGGGCCAAAAAAAUAGCGUACAGUGGAGAUUUUGCCUGGCUAUGGAGAUGAAAACUUGGAGAGCAGACAAGGAAGGAAGAGAAGAGGAAUGGGAUUCUCAGAAGGGAAAAGGAAGAGGCAACCGGUACAGAGAAAGAUAAUUUCCGAACUGAAAGUAUUAAUCAUGGGAUACUGGCUGGCUCACAAAGUUAAAUUAGCCUGUAUUUUAGUUCAUCAAUUUUAAAGAAUGGAGUAAAAUGUAAGACACUCAAAGGACAUUUUCAGAAUUUCACUAGAUGAAGGUUCAAUCCUGAGAUGACUUGACAAGCUGCAUCUUCCUUAAGAGAUUUUGACAAGAUAUUAAGCCAUAGUUAC
rnacentral:lncRNA from 1 species